CGGGGUGAGUAACGCGUGGGUAACCUACUCUGUACACACGGAUAACAUACCAAAGGUAUGCUAAUACAGGAUAAUAUAUUUGAGAGGCAUCUCUUGAAUAUCAAAGGUGAGCCAGUACAGGAUGGACCCGCGUCUGAUUAGCUAGUUGGUAAGGUAACGGCUUACCAAGGCGACGAUCAGUAGCCGACCUGAGAGGGUGAUCGGCCACAUUGGAACUGAGACACGGUCCAA
rnacentral:rRNA from 1 species